rnacentral:tRNA from 1 species
CGCGGAGUAGAGCAGCUCGGUAGCUCGUCGGGCUCAUAACCCGGAGGUCGUAGGUUCAAAUCCUGCCUCCGCAA